GCCACAGGCUGAAUAUCCUACAGGCCCAAACAACAGGAGGAGGAGGAUCACAGGAAACUUGUUGCUGGCCCGGCUCCUAAGUGGCACUGAGGUCAGUCUGAUCUGUCACCACCCACUUCCUCACAUCUCACACUCCCACACGUAGCACAUAGCCAAUCAUGCACCAUCCAUCCCACACUCCCACAUGUAGCAUAUAGCCAAUCAUGCAUCAUCCAUCCCACAUUUAUACAUGUGCCCCUGUCCGCUAAGCUGCG